ensembl:lncRNA
UUUUUUCUUUCUUUCAGAAAAAAUAACGAGGGGAAAGAGAGGGAAGUUUUCCUCACUGUGCUCCAUCCUUUUUAUCAGAAGUUAGGAAUAUAAGAAGGUGCCUCGCAGCUCAAAUCCAGCCCGGUGCUAUCUCACUAUUUGACAUUAUUUGUCAUUUGGGGAAGAAUUUCAAAAUGUUUAGAUUUCGUUUCGGUUCAACACGAAGCCCAAACUUGCCCCUUCCUCCCUUCCUCCCCCUCCCCGUGCAGCGGCGUUGCCGUCCCUCCCCAACUGUGCUUUCAAGACUGCCGUUGCCACAAACCCAAAGCAAUUUGGGGCCAACGUCCAUAACCUCCAGGCACCAAAACCAAGCACAGGGUUUGUUCGCUUGGCUGCGACAGACCCGUUCUCAGUGUGCCCCCGUGCACAGGAGCCUUCUCCCCACCAUCUCCAGACUUCACAUCUCCUCCACAUUGACCUCCAGAUGUCUCCAUGAAGGUCUCCAAGGCCACUGAUGUUUUCACACCGUGUUUUCCCACCCAGGGGCACCAGGCUGUGCGGGACAGGGAGUAAAAGAAAACAAAAGAGGAAGGAAGAGUGGAAACAAAAGUGCUGUGUUUUACUCCUCCUCUCUCAAGGAAAGCAGUCCAGACAACCUCUUCCAAAACAUACUUUUUCACUCGAGAGAUGCCCCAUUGAAAAAUGUAUGUUUCUGGGAGAGGGAAUGAUGGAAGGAGAAGAGCGGCAGAGGAGAAACGGGAAGUGCUCGAGUACAAAUGGGAUUGGAAGUGCAAAGGGGGUUAUUUGUCAGAUAGGGAGGAUUAUUUUACAUCUCGACCACCUAUGCAACCACGUGCAUCUGCCUGAAUGAAAUGUUGGUUUAAUCAUCCUGGUCAAAGUCCUUUGGCUGCAGCCAUGGCUUGUUGUACUGUGGAUUAACAGGGGAAAAAUAAUUAAGGGAUUCCAUAUAUACAGUUUUUCUGGCUUUGGCAAGGAACCCCAGGGUCAGAGAAAAGCUCUGAUUUCAAACAACUGUAUUUUGAGUGAUCCUGUUUAUUUCAAGUGUCUGCUGAGGCUUUGACUCUGAGCUAUUAAUACAGAAUAAAUAAUUUUCACACGAG